rnacentral:rRNA from 1 species
GACGAACGCUGGCGGCGUGCUUAACACAUGCAAGUCGAACGGAAGGGCCCUGCUUUUGUGGGGUGCUCGAAUGGCGAACGGGUGAGUAACACGUGAGUAACCUGCCCUUGACUUUGGGAUAACUUCAGGAAACUGGGGCUAAUACCGGAUAGGAGCUCCUGCUGCAUGGUGGGGGUUGGAAAGUUUCGGCGGUUGGGGAUGGACUCGCGGCUUAUCAGCUUGUUGGUGGGGUAGUGGCUUACCAAGGCUUUGACGGGUAGCCGGCCUGAGAGGGUGACCGGCCACAUUGGGACUGAGAUACGGCCCAGACUCCUACGGGAGGCAGAAGUGGGGAAUAUUGCACAAUGGGCGGAAGCCUGAUGCAGCAACGCCGCGUGCGGGAUGACGGCCUUCGGGUUGUAAACCGCUUUCGCCUGUGACGAAGCGUGAGUGACGGUAAUGGGUAAAGAAGCACCGGCUAACUACGUG